rnacentral:lncRNA from 1 species
GUGGUGGCAGGCGCCUGUAAUCCCAGCUAUUUGGGAGGCUGAGACAGGAGAACCGCUUGGACCCAGGAGGCAGAGGUUGCAGUGAUCUGAGAUCACGCCACUGCACUCCAGCCUGAGCAACAGAGAGCGAAACUGUCUCAAAAUAAUAAUAAUAAUUUGAUUUGAGUCAUGUUCACUUUCAGAUGCCAACACAUGCACCUAAGUGUAUAGUCAACAAAACAGUUGGCUGGACUAGCGGGAUUCAAGGGGAGUGGUUGGAGCUGGAGACACACAUUUGGGAGUUGGCGGCAUGAAGAUAGCAGAUCGAGCCUCAGGCAGGGAAGGAGACCUGGAGCGUGUGUGUGGCUGACAGGAACCAAGGACUGAUCUUGGAGCUUGGUGCGCUCCAACACAUGGAGGUCAGGAAGAGAGAGGAGUCCAGCCAGGAGGACAAGCAGUGGCCGUGGAGGGAGAGUGUGGAAGACUGAGGAAGUGGUUGCUUUGUCCAGGGCAGCCAAUAGGUUACAGGAAGGACUGAGCAGGGACCACAGGUUUUGUUAACUGAAAGGUGUAAGAAGUCCGAGGGAGCCAGGGGAUACCCUAAUUUUUCCCAAUUUCAGAACCAAUUAAGAAACAAAAAAUAAGACGAUGGGAGAUGGGAGACCAAAAUACCACCCUUAUUACUGAUAAAACUGCUGUUAGAAAAUGUGGUUACAUCUGGGAACACUGGAUUUCUUUUCUUUUCUUUUUUUUUUGUGAUGGCAUCUCGCUCUGUCGCCCAGGCUGGAGUGCAGUGGUGUCAUCUUGGCUCACUGCAAGCUCCGCCUCCCAGAUUCACACCAUUCUCCUGCCUCAGCCUCCCCAGUAGCUGGGACUACAGGCACCCGCCACCGCGCCCGGCUAAUUUUUUUUUUUGUAUUUUUAGUAGAGACGGGGCUUCACCAUGUUAGCCAGGAUGGUCUCGAUCUCCUGACCUCAUGGUCUGCCCGCCUCAGCCUCCCAAAGUGCUGGAAUUACAGGCGUGAGCCACCGCGCCCGGCCUGGAUUUAUUUUGUAAGGCUGAACCUCAGAAUGAGGCGGUUUAGAGCAGUGCUUCUUGAACUUUAUUGUGCACCAGAAUCCCCUGGGGAUCGUACUAAAAUGCAGGUUCUGAUUGAGUAGGGCUUGGGUGGAGCCUGAGAUUCUGCUUUUCUAAUAAGCUUCCAAGUGAUGUCAGUAUUGCCAUUGUGGGGAUCACUCUUUGAGUAGCAGAAGUUAAGAGGAACGCAGCGCAUAUGUCCCCUGAAGGCAGCCGAGGUUCUGAGAGAGAGGGAGGAAGUGGCCAGGCAGUCUAUGCCUAACCGCUCCUUCCAGACUCACAGGAACAUUCUAGUAAUGGGGCUCACUUCUCAUGGAGGGAGGCAUCAGGAGUGCUUCUACACUAGCAAGGUCAUUGGUGAGGGGAGCAUUUGUUUGAGUGGUGCCUAAUUGGAGUAGGUUCUAGGGAAAGUGGGAGGAGAGGAGGGUGAAACAGUACAAACAAUUCUUUCAUAGAUUUUUCUGUAAAAGGGAAAAGACAAAUGGAGUAACUGGAAGGGGAUAUGGGGUAAAGGAGAGGCUUUUGUUUUAAAGAAGGGAAAUAGCAUAGCUUGUGCAUGUACUAAUUGGAAAAAAUGAACUGGGAGGGAAAACCUGGCAGUGGGGAAGACAGUGAGGUGGAGAGAGUUGUGGAGUGGGCCUGAGGGACUGGGGGCCAGUGCACAGCAGAGAGGUAGGUCCUAGAUCCAACUGAGCACCCUGGCUUAUAUCCACAGUGCUGCCGACAGCUCAGUGAUAGGAACACUGCAAGUCUCUGGAUUGCUAGGACUCUUCAGUCUUAAGUUAAUGUCUGGCUGGGCGUGGUGGCUCAUGCCUGUAAUCCCAGCACUUUGGGAGGCUAAGGCGGGUGGAUCACCUGAGCUCAGGAGUUCAAAACCAGCCUGGCCAACAUGGUGAAACCCUGUCUCUACUAAAAAUACAAAAAUUAGCUGGGCAUGGUGGUGGGUACCUGUAAUCCCAGCUACUCGGGAGGCUGAGGCUGGAGAAUCACUUGAACCCGGGAGGCAGAGGUUGCGGUGAGCCGGGAUCACACCAUUGCACUCCAGCCUGGGCUACAGAGCGAGAUUUUUGUCUCAAAAAAAAAAAAAAAAAAAAAGUUAGUUAAUGUCAGCUCUAGGGCUUAUGUCAGGCCACGUCUUCCUGAAACUGGACUUGCAGUUUAAAAUGGGAGAUCAUCCCCGAAUCAGUGCAUAUUAUGCUGGUUGUGCCCUCAACUAGACCUCACCCAGGAGCAUGUAGGAUUGAAUCCUCACUAGGGUUGCACGCUUAGUAAAUCCCCAUGUCUCUUGCAAAGCUGAUAGUUUGGGAAGUCAGGUGACCCAUGGAAGCAUGCAUGAGUCUGGUGCGCUGCUUUUCUUUUGUUGUUGUUGUUUUGAGACGGAGUCUUGCUCCGUCGCCCAGGCUGGAGUGCAGUGGCACAAUCUCGGCUCACUGCAAGCUCCGCCUCCUGGGUUCACGCCAUUCUCCUGCCUCAGCUUCCUGAGUAGCUGGGACUACAGGCGCCCGCCACCACGCCUGGCUAAUUUUUUGUAUUUCUUAGUAGAGACAGGGUUUCACCGUGUUAGCCAGGAUGGUCUUGAUCUCCUGACCUUGUGAUCUGCCCACCUCGGCCUCCCAAAGUGCUGGGAUUACAGGCGUGAACCGCCAUGCCCAGCAGAAAAAUUGUCAUUGGAAUAAAGUCUGGGGUUUUGUUAAAAGUUUUAUAUCGGCCGGGUGUGGUGGCCCAUGCCUGUAAUCCUAGCACUUUGAGAAGCUGAGGGGGGAGAUUCCCUGAGCUCAGGGAUUCAAGACCAGCCUGGACAAUGCAGUGAAACCCUGUCUCUACUAAAAUACAAAAAAUUAGCUGGGCGUGGUGGCGUGCACCUGUAGUCCUGGCUACUUGGGAGGCUGAGGCAGGACAAUUUCUUGAACCCAGGAGGCAGAGGUUGCAGUGAGCCGAGAUCACGCCACUGCACUCCAGCCUGGGCGACAGGGCGAGACCUGGAGUGCAGGCACAAUUAUGGCUCCCUGCAGCCUUGACCUCCCCAGGUUCAGGUGAUCCUCCCACCUCAGUUUUUCUAUUUUUAGUAGAGCCCUCCACCUCCCGGGUUCAAGCAAUUCUCCUGCCUCAGCCUCCUGAGUAGCUGGGAUUACAGGCAUGUGCCACCACGACGGGUUAAUUUUUGUAUUUUUAGUAGACACAGGGUUAUACCAUGUUGCCCAGGCUGGACUUCAACUCCUGGGCUCAAGUGAUCCACCUGUCUUGGCCCCACAAAGUGCUAGGAUUACAGGUGUGAGCCACCACACCUGGCCAGCAGUUUCUUAAAAAGUUACACUUACCUUAAAACCCAGCAAUCCACUCCUAAGUAUAUGUCUAAAAGAAAUGAAAACAACAGGCUGGGUGUGGUGGCUCACACCUGUAAUGCCAGCACUUUGGGAGGCUAAGGUGGUAGCUCUCCAGACCACCCAGGGCAACAUGGUAAAACCCCGUCUCCACUAAAAAUACAAAAAAAUUAACCGGGUGUGGUGGGGCACACCUCUAGUCCCAGCUACUUGGGAGGCUGAGGCAGGAGAAUCACUUGAGCCCCAGAGGCAAAGGUUUCAGUAAGCCGAGAUCGUGCCACUGCACUCUAGCUUGGGCUACAGAGUGAGACUCCAUCUCACACACACACACACAAAAGAAAUGAAAACAACAAUUUGUACAUGAGUUCAAAACAGAAUUAUUUAUUUCCCAAACUAGAAACAAUCCAAAUGUCUAUCAACAGAUAAAUGGAUAAGCAAAUGAUGACACAAUUGCAUUAAUGGAAUACCACUCAGCAAUGAAAAGGAACAAACCACUCAUACCUACAACACAGAUGAGCCUCAGAAACGUGAUGCUAAGUGAAAGAAGCCAGACCAAAAAAAUUAUAUGCUAUUAUUCCAUUUCUAUGAAAUUUCUGGAAAAGGCAAAAACCAUGCAAAGUAGAUCAGAGGUUGGCUGGGGGUGAGAGCAGAGACUGACUACAAAUAGGCCCAAGGGAACGUUUUGGGGUGAUGGAAGUUUUCUAUAAGUGGAUUAUGGUGAUGGCUACACAACAGUAUAAAUUAAAGGUCAUCCAAAUGUGUACUUACAAUGUUUGAAUUGUAUGACAUGUAAAUUAUCUCAUUAAAU